rnacentral:rRNA from 1 species
CCUACGGGAGGCAGCAGUGAGGAAUAUUGGUCAAUGGGCGCGAGCCUGAACCAGCCAAGUCGCGUGAGGGAAGACGGUCCUAUGGAUUGUAAACCUCUUUUGUCGGGGAGCAAAAGACGCCACGCGUGGCGUUCCGAGAGUACCCGAAGAAAAAGCAUCGGCUAACUCCGUGCCAGCAGCCGCGGUAAUACGGAGGAUGCGAGCGUUAUCCGGAUUUAUUGGGUUUAAAGGGUGCGCAGGUGGAAGGUCAAGUCAGCGGUAAAAUUGAGAGGCUCAACCUCUUCGGGCCGUUGAAAAUGGUUAGCUUGAGGGAGCGAGAAGUAAGGGGAAUGCGGGGUGUAGCGGUGAAAUGGA